CCAUAUGUGGUUCCUAUAAUCGAGCUGAUUGUUACAAUUGGAACGUCAAUUAUAAAGAAAUAACAAGUAAAUAGUGAAUCCAAUAUAAACCAAAUUGCUAACGUAAUCAUUCGCGGCAUUAUUUCUUCCUAGAUCGUUUUUGCUAUGUUAAAUAACAAUCUUAAUUCCAAAAAUUACUAUUAUGUAUUUUUUCAAAAAUCAUGUACUUGAAUUACAGCUUGUUGUAAUACCCAAUGCCGCAACAAGUUAUUCUUUUGCAUAACUUAUUGUUCAACUAUAACCAGUAGGACUUAAAUGUAUUGUCAUAGAAAAAUGUUAAUAGGUUAACAACACUUGAUCAAAAUCCUCUUGUGAAGUUUGACUAAUGAAAAAGUAUGGAGCUAAGAAAAAGAUUUAGUUGCUUCUCAGAAUCAACAGACAUACAAGUUAUACAAAUAUUUUUUUUACGUAGCGUGUCAUUAGCAGCCUAUUUCUCAUUAUAACUUUUAACUGAAAGUAACAGAUACCCAAAAGGAAUAGCAUUUCAGAACCCAAAAUAUAAAUUUAAUAAAAAAAUUCUUGAAGACAACUUAAAAAAGAAAAGAGAGAACAAGGCAUAAAAGUAUUAUAUUUUUAAUAUCUUAUGUGAACAUUGGUUAUGUCGCCGGUAAGCUAAAUUAUAGUUGAAAUAUGAUAUGCACAUCCCGCAAGUUCAAAUAGGCGGACAUUGUACCACUGAAUCCACAGUUUUUAUUUGGUAAGAAUGAAAACCGUGAGUUGUGAAUUAAAAAAAAUACUUAUAUUGAAAUGUGAAGUUCCUAAUUCAAAACAAUCAUGAUAAUAAGGUAACUGAUCCAUAGAAACAUAUUCGUGCUAUUCAUAUGGCAGCCACUGAAGCAAGUAAAUGGCAUUAAGAAAAACAACCUCCACAUCUUCUCAAUUUUAUUUUUCUAGUGAACCAUAAAAUGAUUCAAAAACUAACCACCAAUUAUCACAUUUAUGAUCCUAAAAUUCCUUACACUGCACUGACUACACAUUGACAACCCAUUAUGCACAUUACGAAACUCCUAAAAGUAUUUUAAUAGUCAAAAUAAUAAAAUAAAGGAAUCAAAAGUACAAAAUCUGCCAUUUCUAAUCAUGGAAUCAACUUUGAACCUCAUUCUAGAGGAGAUUGGAAGAAGAAUCAAAAGAGAAACAAUAAAAAUACAAAAAUAAGUGAGCGCAAGAAGAGGACUAUAAGAGCAUUGAGGAGGAGUCAAUGUGGAACGUAGUCUGGCAAUGCAAAUCAAAAUCUAAAAGGGGGUUAUACAUCAAAAUUUUAAAUUAACAAUUAGUAAAUUUCACCUGUUUUAAACUUUAAAAAAUUACAACAUUUCAAGGGGGUUACCUCAAAAUUAGUAGAGAAUCGACCUUCGACGGAUUAAUUAUGAUAUAUUAAAAAGGAAAAAAUAACAUAUAAACCCUUCAAAGAGAACAAUUGAAAGGAUAUACCUUAAUAUUCCUGUUCAACAGUUCGAAAGGUCCGAGAAUACUCUAUCCCAGUAGACGAUUGCUGCUCCAAGAGUUCAUUCAACAAAAAGCAACAUACAAGUUUAUCCCAAAUUGUGAAUCACAAAAUUGUGUUCAAAGUCUGAUUAGAGAUAAGACAAAGCAAAAUUCGUAAAAGAAGAUAUGAAGGGUAUGAAAAAGAUUGUGAGAGAGAUCUGCUACUAAUGGUAUACAAUUGCAGCUAGAACUCAUUAGCAAAUGGUAGACGAUUAACAAAGUAACAGUGAAAGAAAAUUCUAGAAAGAAGAGUGCGAGGAAGGACACGUAUGCUAGUAGAGUAAUAAAAAUUCAAUUUCAGAUCAGCUAUAGA
rnacentral:lncRNA from 1 species